GCGUCGGUAGCUCAAUUGGAUAGAGCUUCUGACUUCGGAUCAGAAGGUUGCAGGUUCGAGUCCUGCCCGACGCGCCA
rnacentral:tRNA from 2 species